GCAGUCGAGCGAUGGAUUAAGAGCUUGCUCUUAUGAAGUUAGCGGCGGACGGGUGAGUAACACGUGGGUAACCUGCCCAUAAGACUGGGAUAACUCCGGGAAACCGGGGCUAAUACCGGAUAACAUUUUGAACCGCAUGGUUCGAAAUUGAAAGGCGGCUUCGGCUGAUCACUUAUGGAUGGACCCGCGUCGCAUUAGCUAGUUGGUGAGGUAACGGCUCACCAAGGCAACGAUGCGUAGCCGACCUGAGAGGGUGAUCGGCCACACUGGGAGCUGAGACACGGCCCAGACUCCUACGGGAGGCAGCAGUAGGGAUAUCUUCCGCAGAUGGACGAAAGUCUGACGGAGCAACGCCGCGUGAGUGAUGAAGGCUUUCGGGUCGUAAAACUCUGUUGUUAGGGAAGAACAAGUGCUAGUUGAAUAAGCUGGCACCUUGACGGUACCUAACCAGAAAGCCACGGCUAACUACGUGCCAGCAGCCGCGGUAAUACGUAGGUGGCAAGCGUUAUCCGGAAUUAUUGGGCGUAAAGCGCGCGCAGGUGGUUUCUUAAGUCUGAUGUGAAAGCCCACGGCUCAACCGUGGAGGGUCAUUGGAAACUGGGAGACUUGAGUGCAGAAGAGGAAAGUGGAAUUCCAUGUGUAGCGGUGAAAUGCGUAGAGAUAUGGAGGAACACCAGUGGCGAAGGCGACUUUUCUGGUCUGUAACUGACACUGAGGCGCGAAAGCGUGGGGAGCAAACAGGAUUAGAUACCCUGGUAGUCCACGCCGUAAACGAUGAGUGCUAAGUGUUAGAGGGUUUCCGCCCUUUAGUGCUGAAGUUAACGCAUUAAGCACUCCGCCUGGGGAGUACGGCCGCAAGGCUGAAACUCAA
rnacentral:rRNA from 1 species